rnacentral:rRNA from 1 species
UACGGAGGGGCUAGCGUUGUUCGGAAUUACUGGGCGUAAAGCGCACGUAGGCGGAUCAGCCAGUCAGGGGUGAAAUCCCGGGGCUCAACCCCGGAACUGCCCUUGAUACUGCUGGUCUGGAGUUCGAGAGAGGCGAGUGGAAUUCCGAGUGUAGAGGUGAAAUUCGUAGAUAUUCGGAGGAACACCAGUGGCGAAGGCGGCUCGCUGGCUCGACACUGACGCUGAGGUGCGAAAGCGUGGGAAGCAAACAGGAUUAGAUACCCUGGUA